GGAGAGGUGCCCGUAGUGGCCUAUCGGGGAUCGAGCGUCAUGCUUGGUCGGGUCUUUGGCCUUCGCAGGUUCGAAUCCUGCCCUCUCCG
rnacentral:tRNA from 1 species